rnacentral:rRNA from 1 species
AUUGAACGCUGGCGGAAUGCUUUACACAUGCAAGUCGAACGGCAGCACGGGGGCAACCCUGGUGGCGAGUGGCGAACGGGUGAGUAAUACAUCGGAACGUGCCCAGUCGUGGGGGAUAACGUAGCGAAAGCUACGCUAAUACCGCAUACGAUCUACGGAUGAAAGCGGGGGAUCGCAAGACCUCGCGCGAUUGGAGUGGCCGAUAUCAGAUUAGGUAGUUGGUGGGGUAAAGGCCUACCAAGCCGACGAUCUGUAGCUGGUCUGAGAGGACGACCAGCGACACUGGGACUGGGACACGGCCCAGACUCCUACGGGAGGCAGCAGUGGGGAAUUUUGGACAAUGGGCGCAAGCCUGAUCCAGCCAUUCCGCGUGCAGGAAGAAGGCCUUCGGGUUGUAAACUGCUUUUGUACGGAACGAAACGCGCUGAGCUAAUACCUCGGUGUAAUGACGGUACCGUAAGAAUAAGCACCGGCUAACUACGUGCCAGCAGCCGCAGUAA